rnacentral:tRNA from 1 species
AGAAGGUAAUCAUAUUGUGAUUUGAGGUCAGUUUCGACCUGACAUGAAGCCGGUAUUGACGGCACUUUCUU